GCGAAAUUUAGUAGCGAAGUAGCUGAUUUCACACUGUCAAGAAAAGUCUCUAUCGAGGUUAAAGGUACCCGUACCGCAAACCGACACAGGUGGGUGAGGAGAGUAUCCUAAGGCCAGCGAGAGAACUGUUGUUAAGGAACUCGGCAAAAUGACCCCGUAACUUAGGGCUAAGGGGUGCCACCAUCAGGUGGCCGCAGAGAAUAGGCCCAAGCGACUGUUUACCAAAAACAUAGGUUUCUGCUAAGUCGCAAGACGAUGUAUAGGAGCUGACGCCUGCCCGGUGCUGGAAGGUUAA
rnacentral:rRNA from 1 species